rnacentral:rRNA from 1 species
CAUGUCUUUUUGAUUAUAAUUUAAAGUCUGACCUGCCCUAUGAGUAUUUAAAUGGCUGCGAUACCCUGAUCGUGCAAAGGUAGCAUAAUAAUUAGUUUUUUAAUUGGGAACUGGAAUGAAAGGUCGAACGAGAAAAAGACUGUCUCAAUCUAAAUUUAAUUAGAAUUUUAUUUUUAAGUAAAAAAGCUUAAAUAAUUUUAAAAGACGAGAAGACCCUAUAGAGUUUUAUAUACGUAUAAAUAUUUAAAAGUUGAAGAAUUAUAGAUUUGAAUAUUAAUAUUUAUAUUUGGUUGGGGUGAUUAAAAAAUUUAAUAAACUUUUUUUAUAUUAAACCAUUGAUUUAUGAAUAAGUGAUCCAUUAUUAAUGAUUAUAAGAUUAAAUUACCUUAGGGAUAACAGCGUAAUUUUUUUUAGAGUUCUUAUCGAAAAAAAAGUUUGCGACC